GGAAAAUCCGACAUCACACACAGGAGCGUCCCUAGGAUGUGGCAGAGAAACACUAGGAUGAGGGCCCCUCGAUGGCCUCUAACACACCAGGGCAGUCCCCCAGUCCUGAGGAUUAAGGGGGUUUGAUGCCAGAACCCAAUAGGGGUUGCCACACAGCGGAGUCCGAAUAUUGUUCUCAUUAAUACAGCCACACCAGCCUGUAACAUGGGAUGCUCCAGGAGGUGACUUGGUCCUUGGAGAAAGGAUCUGACAAGAGGCUACGAGGCUUAUCACUCAGCAUACAAAGAACCCAACGAGAGCUGGACUAAUCCAUGAGAUGAGUCAGAUGUUGGCCCGUUGGACAAGCCUGAGCUCACCGGCCUUCUAAUGCAUGCCAAGCAGGUAUCCAAGCCUGAUGAGUCCCUGUUAACAAACUGCUGCUUCCUGCAGAGACCUAUGAGACUUCCCUGGGCCUUAAUUUCCCCACAUCUGUCCAGUUUCCCCAGGUUCUGAGUUCACAAAGCCCACGAGGAGAGAGGAAUCUGCCAUAAGGAGAGCCCAGAACCGCUGGGCCAAGGAGGAGCAGUUCACCUCAGAUGUAUUGCUGCAUCUGCAGAAAGAUCUGUGUCACCCUCCAAAUUUAUGCUGAGACCCUAAUCCCCAGUGGGACUAUAUUUGGAGAUGGGGCCUUUCGGGAGGGGAUUAAGGUCAUAAGGGUAGGGCCCUAAUCUGAUAGGACUGGUAUCCUCACAAGAAGAAGAAGAGGCACCAGAGAGAGUUCUCUCUCUGUCUCUGUCUCACUAUCUUUCUGUUUGUGUGUACAGAGGAAAGGCCAUUGCAGGACACAGGGAGGCAGUAGUUCUCUGCAAGUCUGGAAGAGAGGCCUCCUCAGUAACCAACCCCAAAGGCACCUUGAUCUUGGACUUCUAGCCUCCAAAACUGAGAAAAAAUAAAUGUCUACGUUUGAAGCUACACAGUCUGUAGUAUUUUAUUAUGGGAGUCUGAGCAGACUAACGUACACUCCAAUGAGUUCUGUUUUCUUUCGCAUCACUGGACC